rnacentral:miRNA from 1 species
UGCGUGUGUGUGCGUGUGUGUGUGUGUGUGUGUUUACAAACACAUGCAUACACACACACACACACACACACACACACACACACAUA